rnacentral:lncRNA from 1 species
CGCCGGCCGCCAUCUCCCUUACCCCGCCGCCCUCCUCAGAGACGCAACCUCCUCAAGCCACAACUCCCAUCCACCACGCCGCAAUCGCCACCAACCACCACCAGAACCCCUGAACCCCCACCACCAGUCCGACGCGGAGCAGCGCGAGCCUCAGAUCCAGCGAGACCGGAAAAACGCAAGCAGAAGCAACAAGCCACUCCAAGCUCCAGCCCUCCUCCCAACUCCCCGCUCCGCGCGCGCAGCAGCUCGACGAACGGAGGCAGAUCCCGGCAAUGCAGUCGCCCGCGAGUAUAGAUAAACAGCACGCGGCGCGCGG